UAUCAACAUUCAAAUCAGCAGGGUGAUUACUAGCAGUUAUGUAACAAACACGGAAGUUGGGGUUACUGGGGAAGACACCGCCAGCCGUGGUCCGUAACUUAGCGACCAGGGUAUUGAUGUUCCUGCAUACAACACUGCACAGGAACGUGAACACAUUUAAAAAUACUAUCCGACAAGAGUCCCAAAGACAAUCAUAAGGCGAACUGUAGAAAGCUUUUGGUUACCCUGAGCUGACAAGUAGAAAAUACAAGUGAUGGAAGGAAAGGAUAAUGAAACAGAUCUUGCAGUACUCACCCAGAAGCAUAAUGUGACAUUAUACCUGGCACCAGUGUUCGAUGUGAUCCAUUCUCAUACAUGUACACCAGCAGCAUUGACCAUAUGAAGCAGCAUUGCUUGCAGCAUAAUAAAAUUCUUCCCUACAAAAGGAGUGCUGGUAGUAGUUAUAAUUCUGAGACUCAUAAGUGGAAGUCCUAGAACGGUGAGAC